ACGAACGCUGGCGGCGUGCUUAACACAUGCAAGUCGAACGGAAAGGCCCUGCUUUUGUGGGGUGCUCGAGUGGCGAACGGGUGAGUAACACGUGAGUAACCUGCCCUUGACUUUGGGGUAACUUCAGGAAACUGGGGCUGAUACCGGAUAGGAGCUCCUGCUGCAUGGUGGGGGUUGGAAAGUUUCGGCGGUUGGGGAUGGACUCGCGGCUUAUCAGCUUGUUGGUGGGGUAGUGGCUUACCAAGGCUUUGACGGGUAGCCGGCCUGAGAGGGUGACCGGCCACAUUGGGACUGAGAUACAGCCCAGACUCCUACGGGAGGCAGCAGUGGGGAAUAUUGCACAAUGGGCGGAAGCCUGAUGCAGCAACGCCGCGUGCGGGAUGACGGCCUUCGGGUUGUAAACCGCUUUCGCCUGUGACGAAGCGUGAGUGACGGUAAUGGGUAAAGAAGCACCGGCUAACUACGUG
rnacentral:rRNA from 1 species